UCUGCUUUUGUUUCCUACACUCACCCACUCCAAACAUUAACCUCAUACCAACCUCCCACUGCACACAGGGCCACAGGAAGCCUGGACAAUGCAGAAGAGCUAAAGGAAGUGGAUAGGCUCUAGCUUGGGCCACAGGGUGGCCCCACAGCCUAUCCAGUGUACCCUGAGCAGCCAAUCACCAAGAAAAUGAAGGAGGCAACCACUUUGCCAUUUCAGCAGUUCAGCACAAGCAGCCAUGUGGCCUGGGACAACUGAGGUCUGACAGAAUUGCAGCUGGUAAGCUUGUACAGCAUUCUAACGGUGGGCCUGAACUGAACACGUUCCUUCCUGUGGCUGCUGCUCCAAAGUUCUGACAUCUGAGACUGCAGUGGGGAGUUUGGUGAGAAGUCUACCUGCCCGUUUGCUUGGCCCUUUGCAGUCACUCUGUGUUCCAGAAAAGCCAAGCACCUCCUCUACGUCUGGCACUGUCCCCAUUUUCUCUGGUAGUGAAUCCUUUCCCUGGUUUUAUAGCCUUAGGUCAUUUCAGUGGGAGUUUAUGAGGCAGAAGAAUUCAACAAAUUCAUCUUGCCA